AUGGUAUAUUCCACAGAAAUUAGGGGAUUAGGAAUACCAGAACUAAAAACCUACUAUGAGACACAUAUAAUAAAGGGAGUGUUUAGGCUGCUUUCGGAACCUAAAUUAAUUUGGCAGGAAUUGGAAGGAAAAUGUUUGCAAAGUGAUUAUGAAGAAAUGCUUUUCAUGUCUAAAUCUGGCAAAGUAAUUAAGGGGUGUAAAAAUAACCUGGCUAAAGAUGUUGUGGAGACAUGGGCUAAGUUAAAAAACAGGAUAUUUCCAGGAGUUUCUCCCCUAACCCCAAUAGUCUUACUGGAGAAUUUCCCAGAAAACAUGAGAAUUAAACAUAAGAAUAAAAAAUUAGUGGAGUUGGAAACUGCUCUUUCUUGGAAGGAAUGGAUACAAGAUUCGAAGGGCAAGUUUAACAAGUUAGAACAACAAGGUGUCCUGAAUUGGUUUGAGAGACAACAGCUAUAUAAUUGGAAAAAGGAUUGGUUAGGUAAAAACCCCAGAUGCAGAGAGCUGAAUAAAUAUGAAGAAUGGCUAAGUAAACUAAAAAGGCAAGAAAUAGCAGGGAAAGGAUUAAUUGGGAAAAUAUGCAAUGAAUUAAUAGGGGAAGAAAUAGGGCUGAAGCUGUUAGCAAAGAUCUGGGAAGGAGACCUAGGGCCCCUGAUGGAUCUAGAUUGGAAAAGGGCUCUAAAAUGGAGAGUGGUUAAGAAUCUGUCAAUAAGAUUAAAAGAAAAUGUAUAUGAAGUCAAAUGGAGAUGGUAUACCACACCAGUUAAACUACAUCAUAUGGAUAGGAAACAAAGUAACCUCUGCUGGAGAUGUGGCAUGCAUAAAGGGACAUAUUUUCAUUUGUGGUGGGAAUGCCCUCAGUUAAAGAGUUUUUGGAACAACAUAUUUAUAAUAAUUGGUAACAUUAUAGGAUUAAACAUCACCCCGGAUGCUAGCAUUAUUAAUGGACACCACAAAGUUGAACUUAGAAAUGGAAAAGAAAGAAUCGGUGAUUAUCUUACUCACAGUGGCAAGGAACUGGAAGGUAGUAACCAAUCUCACACUGGAAGCAUGGUAUGGGGAGGGAUGGAAUGUAGCCUUAAAUGA
rnacentral:lncRNA from 1 species